GUCGGACCUGGAUAGAAGAUAACUUGUUUCUAACCAUUUAGCGGCCAUAUUUCUCAUAUUAACUUUUUCACCACGCGUUUCUCCUUAAAUGUUAAAAUCCAUUUGAAGAGUGGCGGGUGCUGAUAUUCUUAUGACUCAGUUGCAUUCUGAUACUUUGGCAGAUGGUUUGAAUCAUUUUGUUGUAUUUAGUUGUAGCGCUAUUUAGAUGUUAGACUUAUUUGAAGGGGGUUGGGCGAGGGAACGUUUUCCAGGUUCCUUGUUUGACGUUGCUAGUGAAGAAAUUCUCAUUCCGGGUGGGUUGUGGAGCUUGUAAUUGGACAAUUGCAAACAGUGUAUUUUAUCGUCAGCCUAUUUUAUAGACAGGAAACUAAGUAAUCACACCUUAGGUAGAAUACUCUUUUCUUUAAAUAAAGUAUGUGUACUAGAACUUUUUCCUUAUCCAUUCUUUCAGAAGCACAAUAUAGUCAGGCUUUCAAUCGAUCUUCCCGGAAUAUAUUUCACUAAUUAUGAGAAAUGUAAAAAUUGCAAACUUAAUUAAAGUAGUAUUCUUCCACAAAUGCAGUGUUUCGAGAAUACAAAUUUGGGAUACGAGAAAUAUUUAUUACCGCUAACCUAUAUCUGGUAAAGCACUUUGGUGUAUAAGGAAAUGUUGAAAUACCCCAAAGAAAGCACGAACAAAGCAGUGACAUAAUUAAAUUUCGACUACGCGUUGUUAUCAAAAAGUAAAGUGAACGUUUGUUUUUAAAAGCUUUAGGAGGUUUUGCCCUUUCGAUGACGGUCUUUGGGGGUGACCCUGUUGGAAAUCAUACAGCCAGCCGUCAGGAGAGAAACCACGGCAGCAUUAUUCAUUAGUGGCCUAGCUCUCGGUUAACUGGGGUGUGGCGUAAUGCGGCUGAGAAGAAAAGUUGCACGAUCGACUUAAUGUAACCGAUUGUCUAACGUGUGAAAAAGAGUAACAAUUCUGUUUACUUUUUUCAUAAGCAACAAGAAUUACAAGAACAAGACCCAAGAAUCUGUUGACAGAAAAGACUGGGGACCUUUUACCUUUUGGAGAACACACAGUGCUGGCUCAUCCCCAGAGAACAGUGUUGAAACAUUCUAACAGCCUACAGCAAAUACGCAACAGGAUUUCAAUAUCCACAGGCAAAUGGCUCAAACACUGUAAAAUGCACUGCUAUAAAAGAUGGAGCUCAAGGAGUGCACGGCAUUUUACAGUCAUCUUCUCUGCAGCUGGGGACAAAUUGCAACAAGUCAAACAUUUUAUUCUACUGGUAUCUAUUUGGAAUUGAAGUGAUGUUGAGAGUCGUAAAGCCAUCACCAACAUGAGAAUCAAUUAGUCUCAAUGGUCACUGUAAUUAUAGAAGUUUGGUACCAAAUGUCAGAGGGUUCUUCUGAAGACCCUGACCUGGUUCUUUGUGUGAAUGGGACCGGCUCUCGGGGUUUCACAACUGGCUGUUGUUGGGCCUAAAGCCUCCACUGGCCUUCGGAGGUUCGAAUUUUCAUGGCUCUGGAGACCAGGAGAUGGAAGUCGGUGUCCAAGUAGAAGAUCGGUGUGUCGUGGGAGAUGGAAGAUCUAAGGCUUUGUGCCCAGGGACCCGAGAUUGGAAAAAGCAAUGCAACGGACUUUUAACGUCAUAAACCAGCAAGUUGUUUGUUAUGCCUUCCCUCUCUCUGUAAAACGGAGACAGCUCUUUCUCUCAUAUUAGGGAGAGAGGGAGCCUGUGGUGUGUCAAAUACCGGGUGAACAAGUCUGUAUCUUUGCUGUUGCCUUGCUUAUGCUUGAGUGCUCGUUGGCGGGUGCUGAUGCUUUUUUUGCCUGUUGGGGGGACAGGGGGAUUGUUGCUUGC